UUCUGCCCUAUCAACUUUCGAUGGUAGGAUAGUGGCCUACCAUGGUUUCAACGGGUAACGGGGAAUUAGGGUUCGACUCCGGAGAGGGAGCCUGAGAAACGGCUACCACAUCCAAGGAAGGCAGCAGGCGCGCAAAUUACCCAAUCCCGACACGGGGAGGUAGUGACAAUAAAUACUGAUCCAGGGCUCUUUCGGGUCUUGGAAUUGGAAUGAGUACAAUUUAAAUCCCUUAACGAGGAACAAUUGGAGGGCAAGUCUGGUGCCAGCAGCCGCGGUAAUUCCAGCUCCAAUAGCGUAUAUUAAAGUUGUUGCAGUUAAAAAGCUCGUAGUUGAACCUUGGGCCUGGCUGGCCGGUCCGCCUCACCGCGUGUACUGGUCCGGCCGGGCCUUUCCUUCUGGGGAACCGCAUGGCCUUCACUGGCCGUGUCGGGGAACCAGGACUUUUACUUUGAAAAAAUUAGAGUGUUCAAAGCAGGCCUUUGCUCGGAUACAUUAGCAUGGAAUAAUAGAAUAGGACGCGUGGUUCUAUUUUGUUGGUUUCUAGGACCGCCGUAAUGAUUAAUAGGGAUAGUCGGGGGCAUCAGUAUUCAAUUGUCAGAGGUGAAAUUCUUGGAUUUAUUGAAGACUAACUACUGCGAAAGCAUUUGCCAAGGAUGUUUUCAUUAAUCAGUGAACGAAAGUUAGGGGAUCGAAGACGAUCGUUAACCGCAUACACGCUGUUGUAUCUGGUCGUCCGCAGCGCCGUACAGCGCUGGUCAACCGAAUAUCGGUUGGCAACACCUUUAAACUGCGGGGACUCCCAGCAAACGGUGGCUACCAAGCGAGCGCGGAAACGCGGUCUCGCGGCCAGAAGGCACAUCGCCUCUGGGUAAGGUUACAAAGCCGCCGUAGUGGGUAACCCGCAGCCAAGUCCGCAGUCCCGGGGGGCGACCCGGACUUGGUCCACAGACUAGACAUUGGUGGGCCAGGCUCUCGCAGCCGGCUUAAGAUAUAGUCGAAUUUCGAACGACAGUUCGAUUGGGUAAUGCAGAUACCGUCGUAGUCUUAACCAUAAACUAUGCCGACUAGGGAUCGGUGGGAUGUUACUAUUUUGACUCCAUCGGCACCUUACGAGAAAUCAAAGUUUUUGGGUUCUGGGGGGAGUAUGGUCGCAAGGCUGAAACUUAAAGAAAUUGACGGAAGGGCACCACCAGGCGUAAACCAAACCGCAGUCAACUCUGCGCCGCAUAGCGGCCCUCCGGUCCCGGGGGGUGGUGGUGACCCGUAUUAAUCGCUAGUCGCCUUCGACGAGUUUCGGAGGCGGCCACAUACCCAAAUUGCGGGAAGUAUCCUUGAGAUUGACGUUCCACCAAGCCGACGUGUCGGCGGCCGGUGUUAACACAUCCGGGUAAGGUCAGAGCGAGCGUUCAAUAGGAUCAUCCGCAGCCAACGUGCGAAAGGCUUUCGCACGCGGUUCAGAGACUAAACGGGUGUGGGUCGCCGCACGCGCGCUACACUGACAGAGCCAACGAGUUCAUCACCUUGGCCGGAAGGUCUGGGUAAUCUUGUUAAACUCUGUCGUGCUGGGGAUAGGGCCUUGCAAUUAUUGCCCUUCAACGAGGAAUGCCUAGUAAGCGCAUGUCAUCAGCAUGCGUUGAUUACGUCCCUGCCCUUUGUACACACCGCCCGUCGCUACUACCGAUUGAAUGGCUCAGUGAGGCCUUCGGACUGGCUCAGGGAGGUCGGCAACGACCAACCCAGAGCCGGAAAGUUGGUCAAACUCGGUCAUUUAGAGGAAGUAAAAGUCGUAACAAGGUCUCCGUAGGUGAACCUGCGGAGGG
rnacentral:rRNA from 1 species